UUUGACUCAACGCGGGAAAUCUUACCGGGUCCGGACACACUGAGGAUUGACAGGCAAUAUCUCAUGGUUAUUAACCCGGUUAUUACAUUUUGUUUAAUCGGUUAUUAAGCAUCGAGUGUUAAAUAUGCUAGUCCUUUCAUGAUUAUGUGAUAGGUGGUGCAUGGCCGUUCUUAGUUCGUGGAGUGAUCUGUCUGCUUAAUUGCGUUUCACUAAGGGCCCAUAAAUUCAAGGUAUGUUAGCUAUCGUCGCUCUAUGGACCCCUUAUACUCGAUUUCGCUUUAAUUAGCGUUAUUUGUUUAAGCGCGCGUCUUUAUUUAAUGAG
rnacentral:rRNA from 1 species